UCCCAGAGNNUAACUCUNGAAANUGCCAUAAAACUUUCAGCUAGAGUUGAUAGAGGAAGCNGAAUUCUAGUGUAGAGGUGAAAUUCGAGAUANUAGAAAGANUACCAAUUGNGAAGGCANCUUUCUGAUCAUUACUNGNACANUGAGGAACGAAAGCAUGGUAGCGAAGAGGAUUAGAUACCCUCGUAGUCCAUGCCGUAAACGAUGUGUUUAGACGUUGGAAAUUUAUUUUCAGUGUCGCAGGGAAACCGAUAAACACACCGCCUGGGGAGUACGACCGCAAGGUNAAAACUCAANUGAAUUGACGGGGACCCGCACAAGUAGUGGAGCAUGUGGUUUAAUUCGAAGCAACGCGCAGAACCUUACCAACCCUUGACAUGCCUGGACAAUCCGAGAGAUCGGACUUUCCUUCGGGACCAGUGCACAGGUGCUGCAUGGCNGUCGUCAGCUCGUGUCGUGAGAUGUUGGGUUAAGUCCCGCAACGAGCGCAACCCUCACUUUUAGUUGCCAUCAUUAAGUUGGGCACUCUGANAGAACUGCCAGUGNUNNGCUGGNGGAANGUGGGGANGACGUCAAGUCCUCAUGGCCCUUACNNUGUUGGGCUACACACNUGCUACAAUGGUAUCUACAACAGGAAGCAAGACUGCGAAGUUAAGCAAAUCCCUAAAAGAUACCUCAGUUCGGAUUGCACUCUGCAACUCGAGUGCANGAAGCNGGAAUUACUNGUAAUCGUAGAUCAGCGUGCUACGGUGAAUGCGUUCCCGGGUCUNGUACACACCGCCCGUCACACCA
rnacentral:rRNA from 1 species